UACGGAGGGUGCAAGCGUUAUCCGGAUUCACUGGGUUUAAAGGGUGCGUAGGUGGGAAUGUAAGUCAGUGGUGAAAUCUCCGUGCUUAACAUGGAAACUGCCAUUGAUACUAUGUUUCUUGAAUUUUUCUGGAGGUCAGCGGAAUAUGUCAUGUAGCGGUGAAAUGCUUAGAUAUGACAUAGAACACCAAUUGCGAAGGCAGCUGACUACAGGGAUAUUGACACUGAGGCACGAAAGCGUGGGGAUCAAACAGGA
rnacentral:rRNA from 1 species